AUGUAUAGAAAUUUUCUUUCUAUUGUAAAACAUGCAAAUAUCAAGAAACGAAUGUGUCUUUGUUCUUCAAUUCACAACAGUAGUGGAACUCGCCUUUAUCUGAAGAAUCAUUUUUCAUAUUUAGGAAAAAAGCUUGUGGCAACUGUCUUCUCUGAACAGCGAUCUUGUGAACAUGGGCCUCAGUACAAUAAAGAGGACACUUCACACCCUACAACCCGUAAAAAUAACCCAUGUUUGACAGAACUACACACCCAUCUGAGGCCUACUGUACCUGUUUUACUUCAUGAUCACCCCAGAUACUUCUACAGUUGA
rnacentral:lncRNA from 1 species